rnacentral:tRNA from 1 species
GCGGGCGUGGUGUAGCCCGGUCCAACACGCCUCCCUGUCACGGAGGAGAUCGCCGGUUCAAAUCCGGUCGCCCGCGCAA